UAAAUUAUAUCUUAAUUUAAAGUAUUUCAUUUACAUUGAAAAGAUAUUAUUUAAUAAUUAAUUUAA
rnacentral:tRNA from 1 species